rnacentral:rRNA from 1 species
CCCAAAGGGAUUCCUUCAGUAAUGGCGAAUGAACGGGGAAAAGCUCAGCAAAGAGAAUCAGGGACCCCGGCCUUGAGUUGUGGACUUGAGAGGUAUUGCCAAUGGUGGCGCAGGUGCGGGCCUCUUGGAAAAGGGCACCACAGAGGGUGUGAGUCCUGUUUGUCAUCUGUAGUCCGCCAUGUACGGCAUGAUUCCUCAGAGUCACGUUCCUUGGAAUUGGAGCGCGAAGGUGGUGGUGGCUUUCAUCUCAAGCUAAGUAUGGGUUCGAGACCGAUAGCAAACAAGUACCAUGAGGGAAGAUUGAAAAGAGCUUUGGAAAGAGAGUUAAAAGUGCCCGAACUUGCUGAUAGGGAAGCGAAGGGAGCUGACGUUGCUUGGUGACAUAUUCCGCGCAAGAGUAGGAUGGGUUCUGAUUGCAAUCUGCGUAGUGCUUCUUGCCGUGCGUGUCGAUGCCAAGCAAUGAGUGGGGAGAGCACCAGGGAUAAUGAUUGUUUCUGUCCCCGGGUGGACGAAGGUGCCUGGUCGCAUCCAUUUGUGGGCUGAAACAAAUGGUGGCUGGUUGCAGCGCCCUGUGCCUGCUAGGCAGUUGGGGUG